UCAAUGUUUGUCUUUCAGAGGACAUAUGAGUCAGGCAGCAAAAGUUGGAGCCAUUGUAUGAUUGUGUGUCAAAAUGAGAGUCACACACUUCAAGACCUGUAGGGACUAAUUUUAGAAAAAGACUCUUCAGAACAGAUGACACAUGAAAUGUGAGUUUAUGUAAACAUGUAGAUUUGAGUAGCAUUAGUUUGUUUUCUGUUUAGGAACUGUAUCAAGGUGACAAAGAUGAAAGAAUGCUGCCAGAAAGGUAUAUCAUUAAAUUUUCAGGGUUCCAUUGGUGAAGUUUCAAGUAACCUUUCACUUAAGUUACUUGUGUCAGAGGAUGGAUGAUGGGGUCAUUUAAAUUGUUGGACAAAGUCAUGAAAGGAUUUUAAAAUUUUGUCAUAAAAAUAAUGAUGUUUUUAAUUUUACGUCUAAAACGAAUUUGCAUUAUCCUGUGUUAGUGACUGAAUCUCAACUCAGUUCUCAUUUUUUAGUUCAACUUUUAACAACCUUAUUUUCAUUGACACCAUGGACAGCACAGUAAAAAAAAAAUACACAAAUUUCCUUUUCUGUUAUUGAUUUGGAAUGAUCACUUUAAAAGAGCCAUCAAAUACACCUACAUGUUGAGCCACUCUUUAUCAUUAAGGUGAAAAGUUCAUUUCAGUUAAGGUAUUUGAGUGCUAUUAUGUGCCAGCCUUUCUUUGCGUUAAUGUUUUUUUUUCCUUCCCUCUAUGAAGGGAAGAAAAAAAAUUAAUUCAGCCAUGAGUUUUAAUAUUCUGGUGAGCACCUUAUCCAUUUGUAGCCACGCCAACAAAUUUAUUCUGUGAUAGACCAAACUUACAAAGUCACUGCAAUUUCAGCAAGCCCCAUUCCCAACAUGAGUGCUGUCCACGGUCCUGAACCAUCAAUGCUAAAUAGUAUUUAGUUGUUGAUCUUCAUCCUGUCAUGCAGUUACAUAUUCCAGGAAUACUGAACCAAGUGAGGACAAAGAUAGCAGUGGGUUGCUGCAAAGGAGGUGAGGGGAGGGGAGAGAGAGCAAGUGAGAAAAAGAGAGACUAGUGGUGAUGUUUUUAAAUAAUUGAAGUAAAAAAGAGAGAGAAGAGGUUCUACCCAGUCCACCAAAGCUUUUUAAUUUCCUUACAUAAUUAACAUGAUGAAUUUUUAAAUAAUUGUUAUAUUUAGUUUUGUUUUUCCACCUUUUGGCCAUUUCUACUACAUAUUUACUUAUUUUAAAAAGUACUUGCUAGACCUUCCUCUUACAGCUACUACCUAUCUCUACCUUUGCAGCUGUUCUCCUUUACAGAAUAAUCUCUAUUAGUUUUCUUGACUUCUUAAUCUCUCUAAACAAAGAUGAAGGAUAUUUAGCUCUGAAAAUCCUUCACUGUUGAAUAUUUAGAUUGUUUUCAAUUUUUACAUAAUGAACAAUGCAUCACGAGAUUAUUGGCUGCAAAUAAAUAGGAAACAUAAAACAUAAAAGAAGUUUUAAGUUUAAAUUUAAAAAAAAAAAAAGGUAAACACAAAAUAUUUGCCAAAGAUAAAGGGUUGCAAAGCUACCUUACGAUGCGCUCUUAUACCAAUACUAAAAUAAAACUUACAACAACAAAAUUAGUGAUUAGGAAAUUACAGUUUUGAUGAACUUGGCAUUUCAAUCAAAGUCAUAUUUGCCACCAUUCUCUCAGUAGCUUUAGGCCAAUUUCCAAAUUGCUUUCAACAAAUUAGUUUUAUUUGUUUAUGUUAUAUAUGUAUAAUUUAAAUUAUAUUUAUAAUUUUUUCAGUCAGAUUUCCUGGAGAACAAUAGUUGUUAGGUGCCUACCAGAAAAUAAGACUAGAAAGUCAUGUUGGAGCCAUAUUGUGGAAGGCUAAGGAAGUGGGAUGGGAGCAAAGGUCAUGUCAAUUAUAUACUAAGCUUAUAUUCUAUGCAAACUAACCCCUUCCUACCACAUAUAUUAUUGAAAAAUUAUUUGCUUGCUAUUUAUCAAUGUCUUUUAUAAAUUAAAAUUUUUCUUAUUACAACUAUAUCUUAAAA
ensembl:lncRNA